CGCUAUCACUCCUACGGGGAGGCAGCAGUAGGAAUCUUCCACAAUGGGCGCAAGCCUGAUGGAGCAACACCGCGUGAGUGAAGAAGGGUUUCGGCUCGUAAAGCUCUGUUGUUAAAGAAGAACACGUAUGAGAGUAACUGUUCAUACGUUGACGGUAUUUAACCAGAAAGUCACGGCUAACUACGUGCCAGCAGCCGCGGUAAUACGUAGGUGGCAAGCGUUAUCCGGAUUUAUUGGGCGUAAAGAGAGUGCAGGCGGUUUCUAAGUCUGAUAUGAAAGCCUUCGGCUUAACCGGAGAAGUGCAUCGGAAACUGGAUAACUUGAGUGCAGAAGAGGGUAGUGGAACUCCAUGUGUAGCGGUGGAAUGCGUAGAUAUAUGGAAGAACACCGGUGGCGAAGGCGGCUACCUGGUCUGCAACUGACGCUGAGACUCGAAAGCAUGGGUAGCGAACAGGAUUAGAUACCCUGGUAG
rnacentral:rRNA from 1 species